GGACAAAGAUUUCCCAAUCAUGAUGCUGCUUAUGAAUUCUAUGCUGAAUUUGCGAAAGGCUGUGGCUUUUCAAUCAGGCGUCACCGCACAGAAGGGAAAGCUGGUGUCGGCAAAGGACUUACAAGACGCUAUUUUGUUUGCCAUCGUGCAGGCAACACUCCUGUCAAAGCUGCUAACGAUAGUAAGCCUCAGAGGAACAGAAAGUCCUCCCGUUGUGGAUGCC
rnacentral:misc_RNA from 1 species